rnacentral:hammerhead_ribozyme from 1 species
CUCCUGCUAACGAGUCCGAAAUAGAACGAAACGUGCGUCUUGCAU